UACGUAGGUGACCAGCGUUGUCCGGAUUUACUGGGCGUAAAGAGCGCGCAGGCGGUCGUUCAAGUCGAGUGUGAAAGCCCCCGGCUCAACUGGGGAGGGUCAUUCGAUACUGAUCGACUGGAAGGCAGGAGAGGGAAGCGGAAUUCCCGGUGUAGUGGUGAAAUGCGUAGAUAUCGGGAGGAACACCGGUGGCGAAGGCGGCUUCCUGGCCUGUACUUGACGCUGAGGCGCGAAAGCUAGGGGAGCAAACGGG
rnacentral:rRNA from 1 species